rnacentral:rRNA from 1 species
AUUGAACGCUGGCGGCAGGCCUAACACAUGCAAGUCGAACGAGAACGGAUUAAAGCUUGCUUUAAUUGUCAGCUAAGUGGCGCACGGGUGAGUAAUAUAUAGGUAACGUGCCUUCAAGAAGGGGAUAACAAUCGGAAACGAUUGCUAAUACCCUAUAUGCCUUUAUGUCAUAAGACAGCAAGGGAAAUAUCUAUAGCUCUAGGAUCGGCCUGUACGGCAUCAGUUUGUUGGUGAGGUAAUGGCUCACCAAGACUAUGACGCCUAACUGGUUUGAGAGGAUGAUCAGUCACACUGGAACUGAGACACGGUCCAG